UACGAAGGGGGCUAGCGUUGUUCGGAAUCACUGGGCGUAAAGCGCACGUAGGCGGAUUGUUAAGUCGGGGGUGAAAUCCUGAGGCUCAACCUCAGAACUGCCUUCGAUACUGGCAAUCUCGAGUCCGGAAGAGGUUGGUGGAACAGCUAAUGUAGAGGUGAAAUUCGUAGAUAUUAGCUAGAACACCAGUGGCGAAGGCGGCCAACUGGUCCGGUACUGACGCUGAGGUGCGAAAGCGUGGGGAGCAAACAGGG
rnacentral:rRNA from 1 species